GUAUAUAUUAUUAUGCCCCCAUUUUGAAGAAAAGGGGGUAUAUUGCUUUGCACUUGUCGGUCCGUCGGUCCGUCGGUCCGUCGGUCCGUAGACCAAAUGGUUUCCGAGUGAUAACUAAAGAACCCUUAGGCCUAGGAACUUCAAACUUGGUAUGGUGAUUGGUCAUGACCAGUAGAUGACCCCUAUUGAUUUUGGGGUCAAGGGGUCAAAGGUCAAGGUCACAUUGACCUUGUAAGCAAAAACGGUUUCCGAUCAAUAACUAAAGAACCUUAAGGCCUAGGAACUUCAAACUUGGUAUGGUGAUUGGUCCUGACCAGUAGAUGACCCCUAUUGAUUUUGGGGUCAAAGGGUCAAAGGUCAAGGUCACAUUGACCUUGUAAGCAAAAACGGUUUCCGAUCAAUAACUAAAGAACCUUAAGGCCUAGGAACUUCAAACUUGGUAUGGUGAUUGGUCAUGAUCAGUAGAUGAUCCCUAUUGAUUUUGGGGUCAAGGGGUCAAAGGUCAAGGUCACAUUGACCUCUUCGGUAAAAACGGUUUCUGAUCAUUAACAAAAGAACCCUCAGGCCUAGGAACUUCAAACUUGGUAUGGUGAUUGGUCAUGAUCAGUAGAUGACCCCUAUUGAUUUUGGGGUCAAGGGGUCAAAGGUCAAGGUCACAUUGACCUUGUAAGCAAUAACGGUUUCUGAUCAAUAACUAAAGAACUUUAAAGCCUAGGAACUUCAAACUUGGUAUGGUGAUUGGUCAUGAUCAGUAGAUGACCCCUAUUGAUUUUAGGGUCAAGGGGUCAAAGGUCAAGGUCACAUUGACCUCUUCGGUAAAAACGGUUUCUGAUCAUUAACAAAAGAACCCUCAGGCCUAGGAACUUCAAACUUGGUAUGGUGAUUGGUCAUGACCAGCAGAUGACCCCUAUUGAUUAAGGGGUCAAAGGUCAAGGUCACAUUGACCUUGUAGGUAAAAACGAUUUCCGAUCAAUAACGAAAAAACCCUUCGGCCUAGGAACUUCAAACUUGGUAUGGUGAUUGGUCAUGACCAGCAGAUGACCCCUAUUGAUUUUGGGGUUAAGGGGUCAAAGGUCAAGGUCACAUUGACUUUGUAGGUAAAAACGGUUUCAGAUCAAUAACGAAAGAACCCUUAGGCGUAGGGACUUCAAACUUGAUAUGGUGAUUGGUCAUUAUCAGUAGAUGACCCCUGUUGAUUUUGGGGUCAAGGGGUUAAAGGUCAAGGUCACAUUUACCUCUUGGGUAAAAACGGUUUCCAAUCAAUAACUAAAGAACCCUUAGGCCUAGGAACUUCAAACUUGGUAUGGUGAUUGGUCAUGACCAGUAGAUGACCCCUAUUGAUAUUGGGGUUAAGGGGUCAAAGGGCAAGGUCACAUAUACCUUGUAGGUAAAAAUGCUUUCAAAUCAAUAACUUAAGAACCCUUUGGCCUAGGAACUUCAAGCAUGGUAUGGUGAUUGGUCAUGAACAGCAGAUGACCUAUUGAUUUUGGGGUCAAGGGGUCAAAGGUCAAGGUCACAUUGACCUUGUAGGUUAAAACGGUUUCCGAUCAAUUAACUAAAACGCUUAGGCCUAGGAACUUCAAACUUUGUAUGAUGAUUGGUCGUGACCAGCUGAUGACCCCUAUUGAGUUUGGGUCAAGGGGUCAAAGGUUAAGGUCAUGACCAGUAGAUACUUGAUAACCCUUAUUAAUUGUUUGAUCACUGGGUCAGAAGUCAUGCAUAAUAACCUUAUCACAUGACUAAUUGGCUGCUGAUAGGGGGCAUACAUGUUUUACAAACAUAUCUUGUUUAUUUAUUCAUCCUGUGUAGAAGUAACUUAUGCAUAGUGAUUAAUUUCUGGAACAUUCAAAUCAGCAUCUGAGCCACAAUGUAAAUAUUUAUGACCCCUCAAGUGGAACCCACUGGUUUCAUAACUGACAUUAAACUCACCUAUCUGAUAUAAGAGAAUAGAAAGAGGUAAAGCAAGUUUACAACAUACUAUAUUACACUGUAGCUCUCAAGUAACUUAAUACCCUUGCAGAACAAAUCACAGGUCAGAACACUCCUUCCAGGCGGGUCAUUUGAACAGAAGCAUUGAAAGAUAAUGUUUAUUAGUGCCUAACUGCUUAAAAGUUAUAACUUGAAAUAUUAUGUUUGAGCAUUGGAAAUUAGAUAAGAUGAGUUAAAACUGGACAAAUUUACAAAAGUUUUCUGGAAAUAUGAACAUUUAAACAUGAUUCAGUUAAAAUGGAGGGAACUACAUGUAUAUAACCAUUUCUAACAGUUGCAAACUUUCAAGUCUUGGAGUCACAUGAGAUGUUUCAACUCAAAGGAUGUCAGAUGAGGGAAAAGUGAUAAAUGUACUGUUGAACAGAACUAUCCUGUAUCCAUCGGAGAGGUCACACCACAAGUCAAGAAGAUGUUGCAUCAUGUGAAGUGAAGGAUAUAUACAUGUGUACUAGAUGGAUGUUAAAUUACAUUUGUUUGAAUAAAACACUCUGACUUAGAAAUAAUUGUGAAAUGUGCAAAUUAAUAUAAGUUUUUGAAUUCUUGACAACUAGAGUGUUUUUUUUGAUUUGCUAAUAAAAACACCAAUGCAAAUUAAAAGGUCAUUUGAUUUUAGUAUGCAACCAUCAUUUCAGUAAUCCCAAAAUGUUCCAGAGUGAAUUCCAUAGUAAUUCCAGAAUUAUUAUGUCUCCCCCACCUCGGGGGGAGACAUAUUGUUUUUGCCCUGUCCGUCCGUCCGUCCGUCAGUCCGUCCGUCCAUUCUUCGUUUCCGGACGAUAACUAGAGUUCCUUUUGACCUACAGCUCUCAAACUUCAUAGGAUGAAUGGUCUUAUUGAGCAGAUGAUCCUUAUUGUUUUUGGGGUCAGUAGUUCAAAGGUCAAGGUCACAGUGACCGUUGGUCAAUUUCUCGUUUCCGGAUGAUAACUAGAGUUCCUUUUGACCUACAGCCCUCAAACUUCAUAGGAUGAUUGGUCUUAUAGAGCUGAUGAUCCCUAUUGUUUUUGGGGUCAGUAGGUCAAAGGUCAAGGUCACAGUGACCGUUGGUCAAUUUCUCGUUUCCGGAUGAUAACUAGAGUUCCUUUUGACCUACAGCCCUCAAACUUCAUAGGAUGAUUGGUCUUAUAGAGCUGAUGAUCCCUAUUGUUUUUGGGUCAGUAGGUCAAAGGUCAAGGUCACAGUGACCGUUGGUCAAUUUCUCGUUUCCGGAUGAUAACUAGAGUUCCUUUUGACCUACAGCCCUCAAACUUCAUAGGAUGAUUGGUCUUAUAGAGCUGAUGAUCCCUAUUGUUUUUGGGGUCAGUAGGUCAAAGGUCAAGGUCACACUGACCGUUGGUCAAUUUCUCGUUUCCGGAUGAUAACUAGAGUUCCUUUAGACCUACAGACCUCAAACUUCAUAGGAUGAUUGGUCUUAUUGAGCAGAUGAUCCCUAUUGUUUUUGGGGUCAGUAGUUCAAAGGUCAAGGUCACAGUGACCGUUGGUCAAUUUCUCAUUUCCGGAUGAUAACUAGAGUUCCUUUUGACCUACAGCCCUCAAACUUCAUAGGAUGAUUGGUCUUAUAGAGCUGAUGAUCCCUAUUGUUUUUGGGGUCAGUAGGUCAAAGGUCAAGGUCACACUGACCGUUGGUCAAUUUCUCGUUUCCGGAUGAUAACUAGAGUUCCUUUAGACCUACAGACCUCAAACUUCAUAGGAUGAUUGGUCUUAUUGAGCAGAUGAUCCCUAUUGUUUUUGGGGUCAGUAGUUCAAAGGUGAAGGUCACAGUGACCGUUGGUCAAUUUCUCGUUUCCGGAUGAUAACUAGAGUUCCUUUUGACCUACAGCCCUCAAACUUCAUAGGAUGAUUGAUCUUAUAGAUCAGAUGAUCCCUAUUGUUUUUGGGGUCAGUAGGUCAAAGGUCAAGGUCACAGUGACCGUUGGUCAAUUUCUCGUUUCCGGAUGAUAACUAGAGUUCCUUUUGACCUACAGCCCUCAAACUUCAUAGGAUGAUUGGUCUUAUAGAGCUGAUGAUCCCUAUUGUUUUUGGGGUUAGUAGGUCAAAGGUCAAGGUCACACUGACCGUUGGUCAAUUUCUCGUUUCCGGAUGAUAACUAGAGUUCCUUUAGACCUACAGACCUCAAACUUCAUAGGAUGAUUGGUCUUAUUGAGCAGAUGAUCCCUAUUGUUUUUGGGUCAGUAGUUCAAAGGUCAAGGUCACAGUGACCGUUGGUCAAUUUCUCGUUUCCGGAUGAUAACUAGAGUUCCUUUUGACCUACAGCCCUCAAACUUCAUAGGAUGAUGAUUGGUCUUAUAGAGCAGAUGAUCCCUAUUGUUUUUGGGGUCAGUAGGUCAAAGGUCAAGGUCACAGUGACCGUUGGUCAAUUUCUCCAUUUCCAUUCCUGUUUCCAUUCACAGUUAUUCUCAGCAGUGGGGGAGACAUGCGCUUUUUUACAAAAGCAUCCUCUAG